GACAUUAAAAAAUAAUCUCCCAAAGUUUCGUAGUCCAAAUAAUUGAGUAAAGGUGUUUAAAUGACUAUUAAAGUUGAAGCAGCUUUACUAAAUUCGCUGGAAAUUGCUUUUCUCAAAUCCUCACCUCCGUGCAUUCCGGGUAUCCCCUGAAACGUCACUAUCUCUCCAAAUAUGGUGUUACACGUUGUUUUAGAGCCAAUCAGAAAUCUGCAUAAACGCUGAUCAUUUGUCAAUGGGAAUCCCCGGGGCACGUGAUUGGUCCAGCCAUCCUCCUGUCAGUCUCGCAGCACUCUCCUCUCCUAUUUAACUCCUUUUUGAAUUGUUUACACUGUUAUUGUCAACUAGCCUACACAAAGAUAUGAUUGCAUAGGCAAGCAUUAUUUGUUUUCGUUUUGCUUUCUGUCUCUCUCAAUUUCUCUCACACGCGCACGAGCGCGAACACGCACACACUCACAAACAUACACGCACAAACACACACACACACACGCACGCACGCACGCACACACACACACACACACACACACACACACACACACACACACACAUUCUGGUUUCCAUGUUCUAUUCCCUUCCCCUAACUCAAACCCCAGCCAUCACAGACACCUUUCUGUUACUUCACAUUUUCAAUAAACAUCAUUCUGGGUGAUUUAUAAGCUUGUUUCUUGGUUUACUGUAAUAGCAUUUAUAUUAAUGUCUUUGGUCAAAUUAAGCUGUAAAAUAAAUUGUUUAUCCCUUUAAAAAUGCAAUGGAUUUUGAAAGAUAUCUACAAAAAACGGGCAAAAAACUUUAAAGGCGUUUUUCUCAGGUUUUCAGUUGGAAAAAGAGGACAGACAACCUUAAUUGAAAUGUCUAUAUCUUUAAAGAGCACCAAUUAUGCUAAUAAAUUAGCACGUUAGCACGUUAUUGUAAUAUCCCAUAGUACAUACAUGUUAUUAAAACUUGAACUAAUGCACUGUGAGUCUUAUAAAUUGCUUACAUACCUCACCGAUUUCUGCAUGUCUGGAAAACGCUCGGUUUAGUUCCUGUCUCCGCCUCCCAAAAUGUCUAGUGUAUUCGGAUUGGUCAGAUGACUACUCAACUGUUAUUGGUCAACUGGGUUCGGCGUGUGUUUGAAAGAUUACGCCCCUGACUACGCGUGGAUUUUCCGGUUCUGACUGAGAGUCACAGGCAACGUAAACAAGCGCUAUAUUUCUCUAUAAACGAUGGUGUCUGUACUGCCUUACCACUUCAAGCUCGAUCCAGAGAGUUCAGACGGCCAUUACGAUUUAAACGAUCUCCGUCAAUGAACGCGAUUGGAUUUAACUUUUUUAGGUGUCCUUAGCUCUGCCAGAAUGCUAAACGAAGACGAAAAUGUGUUGCAAAGACAUCCAAAAGGUUUUAAGGAGAAUGCAACAUGUUCCAGGGCCUCUUACCUGCGUGAUUCAUCAUCCAGGUUUUGCACAAAUUGUCUAAAUCCCUACACACAGAACAUUUAUUGUACCGACUAUAAGCCUUUGAGGUGCAGGACUAGAAUAUGCUUGGAGCUUCCUGAUCAGAUCGGUCACAAUUUUGGCUUUCGACGACCCCUGCACUGAAGAUGGCAUGCAAUCACGUCCUCCUUUGAAGGUCUCUCAAAC